rnacentral:ribozyme from 13 species
AAGAAGAAGAGGAAGAGGAAGAGGAAUUUAAACCAUUCCGGAGGGCAAAGAAAAGGGGAAGUUGCAGUUGUUCUUCUUCUCUUGUUUUGUUUUCUUGGUUUUCUUUCUUUCUCUCUUUCUUGGUUUGU